rnacentral:rRNA from 1 species
AUUGAACGCUGGCGGCAGGCCUAACACAUGCAAGUCGAACGAGUGGCGGACGGGUGAGUAAUGUCUGGGAAACUGCCUGAUGGAGGGGGAUAACUACUGGAAACGGUAGCUAAUACCGCAUACCAUCGGAUGUGCCCAGAUGGGAUUAGCUAGUAGGUGGGGUAACGGCUCACCUAGGCGACGAUCCCUAGCUGGUCUGAGAGGAUGACCAGGCACACUGGAACUGAGACACGGUCCGGACCCCUACGGGAGGCAAGGUUGGGGAAUGUUGCACAAUGGGCGAAAGCCUGAUGCAGCCAAGCCGCGUGUAUGAAGAGAGCCUUCGGGUUGUAAAGUACUUUCAGCGGGGAGGCGUUACCCGCAGAAGAAGCACCGGCUAACUCCGUGCCAGCAGCCGCGGUAAUAC